rnacentral:rRNA from 1 species
CCUACGGGUGGCAGCAGUGAGGAAUAUUGGUCAAUGGACGAGAGUCUGAACCAGCCAAGUAGCGUGAAGGAAGACUGCCCUAUGGGUUGUAAACUUCUUUUAUAUGGGAGAAAAACAGGGUAUGCAUACCGUAUUGUAUGUACCAGAAGAAUAAGGAUCGGCUAACUCCGUGCCAGCAGCCGCGGUAAUAGGGAGGAUCCGAGCGUUAUCCGGAUUGAUUGGGUUUAAAGGGAGCGUAGGUGGAUUGUUAAGGCCGUGGGGAAAGUUUGCGGCUCAACCGUAAAAUUGCUGUUGAAACUGGCUGUCUUGAGUACAGUAGAGGUGGGUGGAAUUCGUGGUGUAGCGGUGAAAUGCUUAGAUAUCACGAAGAACUCCGAUUGCGAAGGCAGCUCACUGGACUGCAACUGACACUGAUGCUCGAAAGUGUGGGUAUCAAACAGGAUUAGAUACCCUAGUAGUC